rnacentral:rRNA from 1 species
GAUGAACGCUGGCGGCGUGCUUAACACAUGCAAGUCGAACGAGAAUCAAUGGAUCAAGACUUCGGUCAAGUGAAGUUGAGGACAGUGGCGGACGGGUGAGUAACGCGUGAGGAACCUGCCUCGGAGUGGGGAAUAACAGUUGGAAACAGCUGCUAAUACCGCAUGAUGCAUACGGAUCGCAUGGUCUGUAUGCCAAAGAUUUAUCGCUCUGAGAUGGCCUCGCGUCUGAUUAGCUAGUUGGCAGGGUAACGGCCCACCAAGGCGACGAUCAGUAGCCGGACUGCGAGGUUGGCCGGCCACAUUGGGACUGAGACACGGCCCAGACUCCUACGGGAGGCAGCAGUGGGGAAUAUUGGGCAAUGGGCGCAAGCCUGACCCAGCAACGCCGCGUGAAGGAAGAAGGCUUUCGGGUUGUAAACUUCUUUUGUCAGGGAUGAACAAAUGACGGUACCUGACGAAUAAGCCACGGCUAACUACGUGCCAGCCGCCGCCGUAACAC